rnacentral:misc_RNA from 1 species
UCCGGCUUGUCACCGGCAGUUUCUCCAGAGUGCCCAGCUCUACCUGCUGGCAACUGAAGAUGAGGGUUGCGCUCGUUGCGGGACUUAACCCAACAUCUCACGACACGAGCUGACGACAGCCAUGCAGCACCUGUGUUCCGGUUCCCUUUCAGGCACACCCACCUUUCAGCAGGCUUCCAGACAUGUCAAGGGUAGGUAAGGUUGUUCGCGUUGCAUCGAAUUAAUCCACAUCAUCCACCGCUUGUGCGGGUCCCCGUCAAUUCCUUUGAGUUUUAGCCUUGCGGCCGUACUCCCCAGGCGGGAUGCUUCCUGCGUUCGCGCCGGCACGGGGGGGGUCGAUACCCCCCACACCUAGCAUCCACCGCUUACGGCGUGGACUAC